rnacentral:rRNA from 1 species
AUUGAACGCUGGCGGCAUGCUUUACACAUGCAAGUCGAACGGCAGCGCGGGCUUCGGCCUGGCGGCGAGUGGCGAACGGGUGAGUAAUGCAUCGGAACGUGCCCAGUAGUGGGGGAUAGCCCGGCGAAAGCCGGAUUAAUACCGCAUACGACCUGAGGGUGAAAGCGGGGGACCGAAAGGCCUCGCGCUAUUGGAGCGGCCGAUGUCGGAUUAGCUAGUUGGUGGGGUAAAGGCUUACCAAGGCGACGAUCCGUAGCUGGUCCGAGAGGACGACCAGCCACACUGGGACUGAGACACGGCCCAGACUCCUACGGGAGGCAGCAGUGGGGAAUUUUGGACAAUGGGGGCAACCCUGAUCCAGCCAUGCCGCGUGCGGGAAGAAGGCCUUCGGGUUGUAAACCGCUUUUGUUCGGGAAGAAAUCCUCUGGGCUAAUACCCCGGGGGGAUGACGGUACCGGAAGAAUAAGCACCGGCUAACUACGUG